GUUUUCCAUUCCCGUGUGCUGUGGGCUCCAUCUGGCCAACCUCCGGCAAAUGUGCCUUUGACUUCUCUUGAUAAAGUCACACGACAAGGAAAACCCCCACAGUAAGAAUAGUAAGAGAAAAG
ensembl:misc_RNA